AGAGUUUGAUCUGGCUCAGGAUGAACGCUAGCGACAGGCUUAACACAUGCAAGUCGAGGGGCAGCGGGGGCGUAGCAAUAUGCCUGCCGGCGACCGGCGCACGGGUGAGUAACACGUAUGUAACCUGCCCUAUGCAGGGGGAUAACCCGGAGAAAUCCGGCCUAAUACCGCGUAACACCUUAGGGGAGCAUUCUCUUGAGGUUAAAGGAGAGAUCCGGCAUAGGAUGGACAUGCGUCGCAUUAGGUAGACGGCGGGGUAACGGCCCACCGUGCCGACGAUGCGUAGGGGUUCUGAGAGGAAGGCCCCCCACACUGGUACUGAGACACGGACCAGACUCCUACGGGAGGCAGCAGUGAGGAAUAUUGGUCAAUGGCCGAGAGGCUGAACCAGCCAAGUCGCGUGAGGGAAGAAUGUCCUAAGGAUUGUAAACCUCUUUUGUCGGGGAGCAAAAAGGCUCUGCGGAGUCGUAUUGAGAGUACCCGAAGAAAAAGCAUCGGCUAACUCCGUGCCAGCAGCCGCGGUAAUACGGAGGAUGCGAGCGUUAUCCAGAUUUAUUGGGUUUAAAGGGUGCGCAGGCGGCGUGUCAAGCAAGCGGUAAAAUAGCGGGGCUCAACCCCGUCGAGCCGUUUGAACUGGCGCGCUUGAGUUCAGGCGAGGUAGGCGGAAUUCGUGGUGUAGCGGUGAAAUGCAUAGAUAUCACGAAGAACUCCGAUUGCGAAGGCAGCUUACCAGUCUGCGACUGACGCUCAGGCACGAAAGUGUGGGUAUCGAACAGGAUUAGAUACCCUGGUAGUCCACACAGUAAACGA
rnacentral:rRNA from 1 species